AUUGAACGCUGGCGGUAGGCCUAACACAUGCAAGUCGAACGAGUGGAGGACGGGUGAGUAAUGUCUGGGAAACUGCCCGAUGGGGGGGGAUAACUACUGGAAACAGUAGCUAAUACCGCAUACCAUCGGAUGUGCCCAGAUGGGAUGAGCUAGUAGGUGGGGUAACGGCUCACCUAGGCGACGAUCCCUAGCGGGUCUGAGAGGAGGACCAGCCAAAUGGGAACUGGGACACGGCCCAGACUCGUACGGGAGGCAGCAGUGGGGAAUAUUGGACAAUGGGCGCAAGCCUGACGCAGCCAUGCCGCGUGUAUGAAGAAGGCCUUGGGGUGGUAAAGUACUUUCAGAGAGGAGGCGUUACUCGCAGAAGAAGCACCGGCUAACUCCGUGCCAGCAGCCGCGGUAAUAC
rnacentral:rRNA from 1 species